GUAAUAUGGAGGUGACAGUUGAUGCCAGUUUUACGAGAACCAGCCCCAUUUCCUCUGCGGAGAAGCAGAUGUUGAUUGGGUUGAUAACCCAAGAACCCAUCUUGAAAAAAAGAAAAACAGAUGGGAAACUACUAGAGCAAAAGAGACGAGCGUGGGCACGCAUUACCCAACAUUUCAAUGCCCAUAACAUGGGUCCCAAGAGGACGGAGGGACAGCUCAGAAAAAUUUGGGAAAAAAUAAGAGUAAAGGCAAAUCAAGAGGACGCACGCCAAAAGCGUGAGGUAUUCAGGACAGGUGGUGGCACCCCUCCCAAGGUACUCAUACCUGAGACGGAGCAGGUCCUCUCCAUUCUUGGGACCGAUAUCCAGGAUAUUGGCAACCCCUAUGAUCAUGAUGCCAUGUCAUCUCAGGCAACGUCGCACCGACAUGGUCGACUCAUCCGAUUUACCAAGUCUCUCUUUGUGAGAUAAAAUUCUUACUCAACCGCCCUCUACGAAGUGGUUCAUCUGGAAGAGCCCGCUGCGCCACCUCUACCUACACCAGCAGAAGAGCCGACACUCGAGGAAAGAAACAGUGUGGCCGAACCCGAAGUGUCCUCUUGUCCAUCCUCAAGUGCAAAGAGGAGGCAGCGUAGUGCCAGGAGGGCACUUCAGGACCAUGAACUAUAUGGCACACCAGGAGGAGAAAGUGCUAGCAAUAAGAAAGAAGAAAUGCAGCGGAGAGUUCUGGAGAAGAGGGACGCACUGAUGGACCUACAGAUGCAUCACAUGCAGGUUCGUCUUGAAGAAGCCAAGCAGAGGCGGGAAGAAGCCAAGGAGAGUUGGGAAGAAGCCAAAGAGAGGCGGGAAGAAGCCAAGGAGAGUUGGGAAGAAGCCAAGGAGAGGCGGGAAGAAGCCAAGGAGAGGCGGGAAGAAGCCAAGGAGAGUUGGGAAGAAGCCAAGGAGAGUUGGGAAGAAGCCUAGGAGAGGCGCGAAGAAGCCAAAGAGAGGCGGGAAGAAGCCAAGCAGAGGCGGGAAGAAGCCAAGGAGAGUUGGGAAGAAGCCAAGGAGAGUUGGGAAGAAGCCAAGGAGAGUUGGGAAGAAGCCAAGGAGAGUUGGGAAGAAGCCAAGGAGAGUUGGGAAGAAGCCAAGGAGAGUUGGGAAUAAGCCAAGGAGAGUUGGGAAGAAGCCAAGCAGAGGCGGGAAGAAGCCAAGGAGAGUUGGGAAGAAGCCAAGGAGAGUUGGGAAGAAGCCAAGGAGAGUUGGGAAGAAGCCAAGGAGAGUUGGGAAGAAGCCAAGGAGAGUUGGAAAGAAGCCAAGGAGAGGCGGGAAGAAGCCAAGGAGAGUUGGGAAGAAGCCAAGGAGAGUUGGA